AGCACACAAGCUAAGGCAUUCCUAGGUUGAUUAUCUACUAGAAUAUAAGUACACAAGCCAACCACUAACUAUAUCAAAUGAGAUAUUAUCAAAUGAGAUGCCUUUGUGGUGCGGUUGUUUCUUCCACAUGCAAGCUCUAGGCAUUCUUGGGUUGUUCACAAUGUAGGCUUGGUGGCUAGGGCUCAAAAAUCCUCAUAGAUCCAACACUGUAAAAAAAGCAAAAAGUAAGAAGCCAAAGAAAUUGUAAUAUUGUUGUAGACACCCCAUUUUAAAUCUGACAAAUUCUAUGAUUUUCUGAACCCUUAGGACUACAUUAUCCUAUUAGACCCAAUUUAAUUAUCCCAAAACUACCCAAAUCCUAUCUCAAUUUGAAGUAGAGCCCAAGAGCUUUCCAACGGUCUAAGAAUCGCUUGAAUUGGACCUACGGAUAAAAAGAUAGAACAAAUAAUAAUUUAGUCCCUGUGAGACCCAACUGUCGGGCGGUGGGUUGAGCUGUAACGACAGGCCCAAACGCGGGCAGAUGAUGCAGUCAAUAUAUCUGAUGAUGCAGUAAAGGCAUUUUUUUUAAUUAGAUAAGGC
rnacentral:lncRNA from 1 species